rnacentral:rRNA from 1 species
AACGAACGCUGGCGGCAUGCCUAACACAUGCAAGUCGAACGAGACCUUCGGGUCUAGUGGCGCACGGGUGCGUAACGCGUGGGAACCUGCCUUUAGGUUCGGAAUAACUCAGAGAAAUUUGAGCUAAUACCGGAUGAUGUCUUCGGACCAAAGAUUUAUCGCCUUUAGAUGGGCCCGCGUAAGAUUAGCUAGUUGGUGAGGUAAAGGCUCACCAAGGCGACGAUCCUUAGCUGGUCUGAGAGGAUGAUCAGCCACACUGGGACUGAGACACGGCCCAGACUCCUACGGGAGGCAGCAGUGGGGAAUAUUGGACAAUGGGCGAAAGCCUGAUCCAGCAAUGCCGCGUGAGUGAUGAAGGCCUUAGGGUUGUAAAGGCUCUUUUACCCGGGAUGAUAAUGACAGUACCGGGAGAAUAAGCUCCGGCUAACUCCGUGCCAGCAGCCGCGGUAAAGUGACUACUG